rnacentral:rRNA from 1 species
GAUUAACGCUGGCGGCGUGCAUAACACAUGCAAGUCGAACGAUGAAACUUAACUUAUUUCUUCGGAAUGAUUUUAAGUGGAUUAGUGGCGGACGGGUGAGUAACGCGUGAGUAACCUGCCUUGGAGAAGGGGAUAGCCUUUUGAAACGAAGAAUAAUACCCUAUUAUAUGAUAAUAUCUCAUGAUAUUAUCAUCAAAUAUUUAUCGCUCUAAGAUGGACUUGCGUCUGAUUAGUUAGUUGGUGAGGUAACAGCUAACGAAGGCAGCGAUCAGUAGCCGGCGAGAGAGAGUGUACAGACACAUAGGGAGUGAGACACGGACCAGAUUCGUACGGGAGGCAGCAGGGAGGAAUUUUGAACAAUGGGGGAAACCCUGAGGCAGCGACGCCGCGUGAUUUAGAAGGCCUUAGGGUUGUAAAAAUCUUUUGUAUGGGAAGAAAAUGACAGUACCAUACGAAUAAGGACCGGCUAAUUAC